GUUCAAUGACGAAAAGGUUUUACUGCUGACCUUUAUAUCUAUGAAGGCUUUUAUACUUGACCUGAUAUCA